rnacentral:rRNA from 1 species
CGUGACGGCGCGAGCAGGUGCGAAAGCAGGUCAUAGUGAUCCGGUGGUUCUGAAUGGAAGGGCCAUCGCUCAACGGAUAAAAGGUACUCCGGGGAUAACAGGCUGAUACCGCCCAAGAGUUCAUAUCGACGGCGGUGUUUGGCACCUCGAUGUCGGCUCAUCACAUCCUGGGGCUGAAGUAGGUCCCAAGGGUAUGGCUGUUCGCCAUUUAAAGUGGUACGCGAGCUGGGUUUAGAACGUCGUGAGACAGUUCGGUCCCUAUCUGCCGUGGGCGCUGGAGAACUGAGGGGGGCUGCUCCUAGUACGAGAGGACCGGAGUGGACGCAUCACUGGUGUUCGGGUUGUCAUGCCAAUGGCACUGCCCGGUAGCUAAAUGCGGAAGAGAUAAGUGCUGAAAGCAUCUAAGCACGAAACUUGCCCCGAGAUGAGUUCUCCCUGACUCCCUGAGAGUCCUGAAGGAACGUUGAAGACGACGACGUUGAUAGGCCGGGUGUGUAAGCGCAGCGAUGCGUUGAGCUAACCGGUAC